rnacentral:lncRNA from 1 species
AGAGGCUAAAGAGCAGAGUUUCUAAGUAGAUCAGAACUGACUGAAGUCAGUGAACCAGAGCUGAAGAUUCUGUUACCAGGGAGACCAGGACUGAGGAGAGCAAGUAGCCUGCCCUCUGACAGGAAGUUAGGUGGAGAAGAGUUGGCUAGUGAGGAGAUAAAGGAAGCAGCCACUGAGGGAAAAAGGUUUUUUGCCUCUGGGAACUCGAGAGAACAAAAAGCCAUUAAAAGAGACCAUUACAGAUACACAAAGAAUUCUUUAAGAAUGUUAGAAGACAUAUGUAGAAGACUGAAGCAAAGGGAGAAAAAAUAAGGCAUGUUAUUUUAAAAACAUCAGGAGGAAAGCAGCCAAUAUUUAUGAAGAAAUUAGAGCUUAGAGAGGGAUAUGGAUGAUUACCUCAGCAAACUGCUGAAGAAUACACAAAGGACUAUAUAUUCUGGUGUCCAAGAAGAGAAACUGCCGUUGGUGAGGGAAAAGUCAACUUCUUCAUCAGAGACACAUUUUAUCCAAAGAACCAUCAGGAUAAUAAACCAAUCUUGCCCUGACUUAAACUUUCAUACCUCAUCUGCUUGUGAGAGGCAGUACCAUAUAAUGGAUAGAUCACUGGACCAAAAGGCAGCAAGUUCUGGGGUCAAUAUUCCUUCUCAGGCUCACUAGCUAUGGAAUUAUGGGUAAGUCACUUGACAUCUCCUACCUUCAAUUUCCUCAUCUACAAAAGAAAGAUAAUAAUACUUGUAGUUAUUCACACAAAAGGUUGGUGUGAAGUCCAGAUAUCAGAAUUUUUAAAAUGCAAUACUAUUCCCUUAUCUAUGGGCAUCUACUUUAACAGUUCUUUUCCACCAGAAAAAAUUGUUAUAUUAACCUGGAACAUUUAAUUCUAUCUUUGAACUCCUCAGUGCAUGUGCCUAGCUAUGAGAUUUUAGUGCUAAAAUGAAAAGCAAAUAUCAGAUAUUAUUAUCUGUACUAAAGCAAUGUAUAUUCUCCAUAGUUUUAAUAUUGAUCAGCACAUCUACAUGUCAGUCUAAUUACAUUACCUUUGUAUUUUACUAAUUUUCAGGGAUCUUUCAAUUUAGGAAUAAAUAACAGGAA